rnacentral:rRNA from 1 species
GACGAACGCUGGCGGCGUGCUUAACACAUGCAAGUCGAACGGAAAGGCCCUGAUUUUGUGGGGUGCUCGAGUGGCGAACGGGUGAGUAACACGUGAGUAACCUGCCCUUGACUUUGGGAUAACUUCAGGAAACUGGGGCUAAUACCGGAUAGGAGCUCCUGCUGCAUGGUGGGGGUUGGAACGUUUCGGCGGUUGGGGAUGGACUCGCGGCUUAUCAGCUUGUUGGUGGGGUAGUGGCUUACCGAGGCUUUGACGGGUAGACGGCCUGAGAGGGUGACCAGCGGCAUGACUACUGAGAGACGCACCAGAGUCGUACUGGGAACAGCAGUGAGGAAUAUUGCACAAUGGUCGGAAGCCUGAUGCAGCAACUCCACGUGCGGGAUGACGGCCUUCGGGUUGUAAACCGCUUUCGCCUGAGACGACGCGGUAGUAACGGUAAUCGGUAAAGAAGCACCGGCUAACUACGUG